AUGUUUUACAUCUUGUGGUAAACCCUGUGUAUAUACUCUGGUGAAGGCUCCUCUUGAUUGUUGACUUUGACACUCACCAGUGCGUUCUUUCUUUUUAGGAUUGUACCAGAUAGUUGAUUUGGCCACACCUAAUGUAUUUGCUGUCUCUCUGAUGGGUUUGCAUAUACGUCACUACAUUUAAAACCAUGUGUGGAAUUGAACCGGUAGUCUAAAAAAAAAAAAAAAAAAUAGAGGAAAUAUGCGCUAUUACUCACUCCCGCCUUCCAAAAAGUUGUCAUACAGUCCCCUCCAAAAGUAUUUUGGCUGCACAUUGAAGACAUUUGGGUUUGAGAUCAAAAGAGGAGUAUGAGACGAUGGAGCAGAAUUUCAGCUUUCAUUUACUGUUAUUUAAAUCUAGACGUGUUAAACAACUUAGAACCUGGCACCAUUUUUUUCAAGUGAUCAAAAAUAUCAGAACAUGUGACUGAUAGGUGUUUGAUCUGGUUUGACCCCCUUGUGCAGCAAUAACUGUUGAUCAGUCCUGCAUGUCGGCUUGGGAUAAUUUUAGUCCAUUCCUCAGAACAGAAGAGUUUCAACUCUGAGAUGUUGGUGGGUUUCCUCACAUGAACUGCUUGCUUCAGGUCCUUCCACAACAUUUCUAUUGGAUUAAGGUCAGGACUUUGACUUGGCCAUUCCAAAACACUACCUUUAUUCUUCUUUAUGUUUGGUAGAACGACUUGUGUGAUUAGGGUCGUUGUCUUGCUGUAUGACCCACUUUCUCUUGAGAUUCAGUUCAUGGACUGAUGUCCUGACAUUUUCCUUUAGAAUUCGCUGGUUUUCGAGGUGGACUCAUGAACAUUAACAUGUGAGCGAGGCCUUUCGUUGCUUAGAAGUUACCAUGGGUUCCUUUGUGAUCUCAUGGACUAUUACAAGUCCUGCUCUUGGAAUGAUCUUUGUAGGUUGAGCACUCCCGGGGAGGGUAAUAAUGGUCUUGAAUUUCCUCCACUUGUACACAAUCUGUCUGACUGUGGGUUGGAAUCCACACUCUUUAGAGAUGGUUUUGUAACGUUUUCCAGUCUGAUGAGCAUCAACAACUCUUUUUCUGAGAUCCUCAGAAAUCUCCUUUCUUCGUGCCCUGAUACACUUCCACAAACAUGAUCAGACUCUGAUAGAUCCCUGUUCUUUAAAUAAAACGGGGCACUCACUCACACCUGAUUGUCAUCCCACUGAUUGAAAACACCUGACUCUAAUUUCACCUUCAAAUGAACUGCUAAUCCUAGAGAUUCACAUAAUUUUGCCACUCAUAGAUAUGUAAUACUGGAUAAUUUUCCUCAAUAAAUAAAGAAGCAAGUAUCAUAUUUUUUUGUUUAACUUGGUUUUCUUUGUCUACUUUUAGGACUUGUGUGGAAAAUCCUAUGAUGCUUGAGGUAAAAUUUAUACAGAUUUAUACCACAACCCUGUCGAAUUCUGAUUGGCUGAUAGACGUUCUGAGGUGUGCAAUUACUUUUCAGUAAAUGCACAGCUAAAGUAGUUCCAGUCGGGUCUUAACCGCGUUACAGUUCCAUAUCACUUCGCCAAGUGAACUGAGAUAAUGUCCAUCACAGAACACACAUUUAACAACAAAAGUCAAUUUAGAUUUUCCAGAAAUAAGUAAUAAUUGACGACAGGGUGUUUAAUUAUUAGAAAAAUAAUGCGCACCCGAGGUGGUAAUGAGGCCAUGAGGCGCAGCGGAGGCUUGAACCAUUGAUAUGCAGUUAUUAGAGAGAGAGAGAGAGAGAGAAAGAAAGAAAGAUAGAUCGAGAAAAAAGAAAGAGAAAGCACGUGUGAUUACAGUAGAGAGACAGAAAAGCCGUGAACAGCAUGAAAUGGAAAAGAAAAAAAAAACCCUGAACACACUCGCUGUCUCAGAACUGCAUAUCAAUGGCUCGAGUCUCUGUUACGAACUCUAAAAUGACAUUAUGGAAUUAGUAACGUAGGUUUGAGAUGGGAUGCCUAAUAAAUUAGUUCCACACAUGACAAACACCUGACAAAUGUCUUCAAAUAAAACAUCUGAACAAUGUCUUGACGUAGUAACUGGUAUAAACGGAAUAAUUGACUCUGGUCCAACCAAAUUGAAAACAAGAAGCUUAAACUGAAUUUGAUACCCGUAGAUCAUGAAGUGUUCUAUUUUUUUUUGUUUGUUUGUUUGUUUGUUUUGCUUUUCAUGUGUUAAAAUCAUUUUGCAUAAUGAUUUUGUCAACCAAGUACUGAAUUUGUGGCUCUAUUUCUAGUCACAUAGUUGAAUACUUGAUGUAUAAGUGGAAUCAAGAUUUUAUUUACAGUGCUAAAAAGCUCAACAGAAAGUACCUGAACACUUUUGACAACUGUUCAAUUACAAUGGUUUCUUUUGUAGGUUUAUAGCAUGAAAUGCCUUAGUUAUGCCCAAGCAUGCACGCGCACACACACACACACACACACACACACACACAGCAUUUAUAAACAUGAAAAUACCAUAAUUUGGGCAGGCUUUGUCCAUGGUACAGUAUGGCACCUUCAUUCUCAUUUUAAAGCCCCUUUUUUAGUUUAUUUGUUGGAUCACUAAUCAGUCGGCUCCCAUAAUGAAAACCAGCUAGUGCUUUUCAAGUUUGCAUGCAACACUCAUUAAGGGCUGAGCAACCCUAAAACGUCAGAUCCUAGCUUCACCCCUGUGGUCAUAAAUGAGGCACGCCACAUCUAAUACAAUCACAUGUGCUUUGAUAAACUAUAUAUUAGAGGAAAAGAUGUUCUGACAUACAACUGCAAAACAUUAAAGAACAUUUUGUUGUUUUUACUUCAAAGUUCACAAAUAAAAGCACGAUAUCACGGAUAAAACAUUGUCAACGCAACUUUUUAUAAUGGGGGGGGG